GGCGCCGUUCCAUGGUAGUUGUUCUCGUUGAGAGAUCUCUCACCUCCCUCUUAAUUUGGUCGGCGGUCGUUUGCCAGGUGGCAAUUAAUUUUUCUGCCAUAAUCUCCAUUGCCUGUUCGAAGUGGCUUCGUGUUAGGCAUUCCACUGGUGGGGAAUCUUCCGAUGGCGCUGGGGAAGGGCUGGGAGCCAUUUCGUCUGCGCCCUCUUGUCCGGCCGCUCGUGGCGGGUCUGCGGCAGAGGAGGAUUUUUGGCCGAAAAAGUUCAUUUUUUCGGCCUUAGAGGUAGCCUUUUUGGUUUUAGAGGUUGCCAUGAGG